CAAUUUCCGUGGACAGCUACAGUGCUUUCUGCCGCGGGGCCGAUCUCAAUCCCCACUGCUCGGAGGUGGAGUUGCCACUUAAUGAUUCGAUGAAGGAACCAGAUGCAAAUACGAUUGCUCGCAUGUCGUCCACUGAACUGAACAACUCCAUACAAAGGCACGCCAGAACCCUGGCCUUAUUGCUGAGAGAAAAUAAUGAAAGACUGAAGUUACGCCAAUCCGGCGCCAAUGUGACCAACGAAGACGCGGAUGUCACCCGUGACCAUGCGGAGUUUGUGGCCGGGUCAUUCCACAUUAGAAACUAUUGUAUCCACAUCGAAUACGGUCGACCCGUGAGACUUUCCC